CCUCCCUCUUGGGCACUGCAGGGCACAGGAGGGAAGCAGGAGGAAGCUCAGGGAGCCAGGGGUGGUUUCUGUGGCUCUGGUGCUCCCUGGAGCAGCUGAACCUUUCCUGGCUCAGGGGGCCAAAGGAAGGGAUUCAGAAGCCAGAAAGCCCAAAUGUCCUCCCCCAGUGUUUGCUCCUUCCCAGAGUCUGCCGGGGCAGAAAAGCUGAACCUGCUGCUCUGAGGAGAAGCCCGAAAUUAACCCCAGGGACCUUCCCCAUCUCGAGGCAAGCCGCAGAACGAGAGGCUUGGCUGGGGGAGGGAGGCAGGCAGGGAUGAAGGGGAUGAAGAGGAUGAAGGGGAUGAAGAGGAUGAAGGAGUCUCACACACACAGAGCAAGAGAACCCCUGCUUUGAGCACCUGCAAUGAGCCAGGCGGGCUGGAGAGCAGCUAGAGGUAAUCACAACCAAUUACAGUUGAUUAAAAGCCUCAAGAAGCCAAUAUAUUGCAAAGAAAAACAAAUAGCAACUCUGAAAAAAAAAAAAAAAAGUUAAUCAAUAACUAGCCAAG
rnacentral:lncRNA from 12 species